AUGUGCGAGGGCGGGCUACCACCGGGGAAGCGUUUGGACUCCUGCAAGGAAGGGUCCCUGACGCCCUGGAACCCUCCGCUCGGGCGCUGGGAGGGCAGGGCAGGGGAGGGGAGGGGAGGGGAGGGGAGGGGAAGGAUGGGGAGAAAGCAGCGGGGCUGCGUGGCCGCUAGGGGGCGCCGGGGAAGAGGGGACGCCUCAACUUCGGGCGACGCCUUUUCCUCGCCGCCUCUCCCCGGGCAGAGAGGGGGCCACCUCCUCGGGGACCAAGGCGCGGCCCGUGGGGACGGAGGCGGAACAGACCCGCACCGCCCAGUCUCGUGCUGUGGCCAUUUCAGCCACCAGGAAAGGCCGGGGAAGCUCUGUCCCUGCGGGCAGCGGGAGACGCGCUUAUGGUCAGGAGCCACCUCAGUUUUUCCAGGUGAGUGGGUGUCCAGGAAGUGCCCCCGGAGUCGCCUCCAGCAGAGUGAGUCACUUACUGGGAAAACGGCAAAAGAAUCUAUUCACCGAGACCGCAGAGACAUUUUGCCCAGCACUUGGAAGCAUGUCUUUUUCCGACGCCGCCUCGGUGUCGUCCGUGGCAAGGGGACCCACCGCAGGGGCCAAGGAAAGGAUUCCUGGCCGUCAAAGAGCCCUUUGGGCAGCAGAGCGUGGCUGGGAUGGUGUCCGCCCCAGGGGGACUCCCCUGCACUUAGAAAGAGAGCAGAGAAUCCUGCGGAGUGGGAGAGAGCGCUGCCUUCACAUGACUCACCGUUUUGA
rnacentral:lncRNA from 1 species